rnacentral:lncRNA from 1 species
GGAGGGCCUGUGUUGUUUGUAGUAACAGAGGCUGAAGCCUCUUCUCAUCCACAGGUCAGGUACAGUGUGGACAAGUGCACUGUAGACUUCCCUACACUGCUCCACCAGUGCACCUCAAAGCAGACAUGGAAGGACCACUAUCUAAUAGGGGUGAGAAGGUCAUCCUCUUUCAGUACUGACUGCCCGGGCUCUUCCUCACCUGCCCAUGGCCCUACCAGCACCACUGCCCCUCAGCCGCUGACACGGUGUCCAGCCCACGGCAACCGGCAUCAGUCCCAGAGGAGGAGCUCAGAUCCAGCACUCCCAGUUCUUCCCAUUGACCAGCACCUCACGCCCACUCCGAUUUCUCCAGCGACACUCUGUGUAUGUGUGUGUUGAGUGCAGAGUUACAUUUGACACUUGUUUCUUGUGGACUUGUAGAAUGACCGUGAGUCUCUCCAAGGCAGUGCCAGACACAGUCAAAACUAGUGACUCUACUGUGCUUGCAAAUCUUGCUCCCAAACCCAUGGGAAUACGAACAACCCAGAACACGCUGAGUCUCAGGGGGGUCGGUGAUCACCUCUGAGCAUAAAGGAAGGAGGAAUUUACGUGGUUUGGCCUGAUUCUCUUUUUGCACCAGUGAAGCGGUUCCCGGACAUCCCUCCUUAUUUCCACUUGCAUGUGUGAAAUCUGAAAUGGGCUUUUUGGCUCAGCAACUCGAUACAUAGACAGACCUUCCUGAGCCAAACUCGCAGGUAGCCGAGACUCCACUAAGUGGAAAACAUGAUGCCAGCUGGAAAUAGGCAGUUUUUCUUCCUCCUCAAAGUGCUUUAGAAUCAUAUGUCCUUUGAUCACUCAAAGGUAAGUAAAUCUUAGUGUUUUUCCCCCCCGUUUUAUAGGAGGGGAAACAGAGAUGUCCUAAAUGGAGAGGAACUGUGGGGGUUGGUGGCAGAGCCAGGUUUAGCACCCUGAAGUUUUUGAUUGCUGACUUGUUCUUAGAACACUGAAUAUCUCUCUCCUCUCACAGCCAUCUGCCAAAUCUUCAUUUUUUUAAAUUUUUUUUUAAAGUUUUUUACUCUUGUUCUUUAUUAACAAACUACUUUAUUUCCUUGGAGUCAUAUCGGAUCACAAAUGGGUGAUUUCAGAGUGUACCUACACAAAACUCUCAGACUCUCCAUACUCUGGGACUGGGAAAUGUUCAAUGGAAGGUGACCACAAAGGUGUAGAAAUGUUCUGCCCUGCUGUGGACCCAAGUUCAAUCAGUGGAAACAGCCAGGU